GACGAACGCUGGCGGCGUGCUUAACACAUGCAAGUCGAACGGAAAGGCCCUGCUUUUGUGGGGUGCUCGAGUGGCGAACGGGUGAGUAACACGUGAGUAACCUGCCCUUGACUUUGGGAUAACUUCAGGAAACUGGGGCUAAUACCGGAUAGGAGCCCCUGCUGCAUGGUGGGGGUUGGAAAGUUUCGGCGGUUGGGGAUGGACUCGCGGCUUAUCAGCUUGUUGGUGGGGUAGUGGCUUACCAAGGCUUUGACGGGUAGCCGGCCUGAGAGGGUGACCGGCCACAUUGGGACUGAGAUACGGCCCAGACUCCUACGGGAGGCAGCAGUGGGGAAUAUUGCACAAUGGGCGGGAGCCUGAUGCAGCAACGCCGCGUGCGGGAUGACGGCCUUCGGGUUGUAAACCGCUUUCGCCUGUGACGAAGCGUGAGUGACGGUAAUGGGUAAAGAAGCACCGGCUAACUACGUG
rnacentral:rRNA from 1 species